UAAGGAAUAUUGGUCAAUGGACGCAAGUCUGAACCAGCCAUGCCGCGUGGAGGAUUAAGGCCCUCUGGGUUGUAAACUCCUUUUAUCUGGGAAGAAAUGUACUUUUUCUUGAGUACUUGACGGUACCAGAGGAAUAAGCACCGGCUAACUCCGUGCCAGCAGCCGCGGUAAUACGUAGGGGGCAAGCGUUGUCCGGAUUUACUGGGUGUAAAGGGCGCGCAGGCGGGAUAAAAAGUCAGUGGUGAAAUCCUACAGCUUAACUGUAGAACUGCCUUUGAUACUUUUAUUCUUGAGUUCGGGAUAGAGCGACGGAAUUCCAGGUGUAGUGGUGAAAUACGUAGAUAUCUGGAAGAACACCAGUUGCGAAGGCGGUCUCUUGGUCCGACACUGACGCUGAGGCGCGAAAGCGUGGGGAGCAAACA
rnacentral:rRNA from 1 species